CAGUCGCCGCGGUAAUACAGAGGGUGCGAGUGUUAAUCGGAUUUACUGGGCGUAAAGCGUGCGUAGGCGGCUUUUUAAGUCGGAUGUGAAAUCCCUGAGCUUAACUUAGGAAUUGCAUUCGAUACUGGGAAGCUAGAGUAUGGGAGAGGAUGGUAGAAUUCCAGGUGUAGCGGUGAAAUGCGUAGAGAUCUGGAGGAAUACCGAUGGCGAAGGCAGCCAUCUGGCCUAAUACUGACGCUGAGGUACGAAAGCAUGGGGAGCAAACAGGAUUAGAUACCCCCGUAGUCCCUGUCUCUUAUAC
rnacentral:rRNA from 1 species